GACGAACGCUGGCGGCGUGCUUAACACAUGCAAGUCGAACGGAAAGGCCCUGCUUUUGUGGGGUGCUCGAGUGGCGAACGGGUGAGUAACACGUGAGUAACCUGCCCUUGACUUUGGGAUAACUUCAGGAAACUGGGGCUAAUACCGGAUAGGAGCUCCUGCUGCAUGGUGGGGGUUGGAAAGUUUCGGCGGUUGGGGAUGGACUCGCGGCUUAUCAGCUUGUUGGUGGGUAGUGGCUUACCAAGGCUUUGACGGGUAGCCGGCCUGAGAGGGUGACCGGCCACAUUGGGACUGAGAUACGGCCCAGACUCCUACGGGAGGCAGCAGUGGGGAAUAUUGCACAAUGGGCGGAAGCCUGAUGCAGCAACGCCGCGUGCGGGAUGACGGCCUUCGGGUUGUAAACCGCUUUCGCCUGUGACGAAGCGUGAGUGACGGUAAUGGGUAAAGAAGCACCAGCUAACUACGUG
rnacentral:rRNA from 1 species